GGGUUGUGAGGUUAAGCGACUAAGCGUACACGGUGGAUGCCCUGGCAGUCAGAGGCGAUGAAGGACGUGCUAAUCUGCGAUAAGCGUCGGUAAGGUGAUAUGAACCGUUAUAACCGGCGAUUUCCGAAUGGGGAAACCCAGUGUGUUUCGACACACUAUCAUUAACUGAAUCCAUAGGUUAAUGAGGCGAACCGGGGGAACUGAAACAUCUAAGUACCCCGAGGAAAAGAAAUCAACCGAGAUUCCCCCAGUAGCGGCGAGCGAACGGGGAGCAGCCCAGAGUCUGAAUCAGUGUGUGUGUUAGUGGAAGCGUCUGGAAAGGCGCGCGAUACAGGGUGACAGCCCCGUACACAAAAAUGCACAUACUGUGAGCUCGAUGAGUAGGGCGGGACACGUGGUAUCCUGUCUGAAUAUGGGGGGACCAUCCUCCAAGGCUAAAUACUCCUGACUGACCGAUAGUGAACCAGUACCGUGAGGGAAAGGCGAAAAGAACCCCGGCGAGGGGAGUGAAAAAGAACCUGAAACCGUGUACGUACAAGCAGUGGGAGCACGCUUAGGCGUGUGACUGCGUACCUUUUGUAUAAUGGGUCAGCGACUUAUAUUCUGUAGCAAGGUUAACCGAAUAGGGGAGCCGAAGGG
rnacentral:rRNA from 1 species